rnacentral:rRNA from 1 species
AGAGUUUGAUCAUGGCUCAGAUUGAACGCUGGCGGUAUGCUUAACACAUGCAAGUCGAACGGUAACAGGCCUUCGGGCGCUGACGAGUGGCGGACGGGUGAGUAACGCGUAGGAAUCUGCCUCAUAGUGGGGGACAAACGUGGGGAAACUCACGCUAAUACCGCAUACGCCCUACGGGGGAAAGCGGGGGAUCUUCGGACCUCGCGCUAUGAGAUGAGCCUGCGUUAGAUUAGCUAGUUGGUAGGGUAAAGGCCUACCAAGGCGACGAUCUAUAGCUGGUCUGAGAGGACGAUCAGCCACACUGGGACUGAGACACGGCCCAGACUCCUACGGGAGGCAGCAGUGGGGAAUAUUGGACAAUGGGCGCAAGCCUGAUCCAGCAAUACCGCGUGUGUGAAGAAGGCCCUAGGGUUGUAAAGCACUUUCAAUUGGGAGGAAAACCUGCCGGUCAAUACCCGGCAGCUUGACAUUACCUUUAGAAGAAGCACCGGCUAACUCCGUG